rnacentral:rRNA from 1 species
UACGGAAGGUGCAAGCGUUAUCCGGAUUCACUGGGUUUAAAGGGUGCGUAGGUGGGUUUGUAAGUCAGUGGUGAAAUCUCCAAGCUUAACUUGGAAACUGCCGUUGAUACUAUAAAUCUUGAAUGUUGUGGAGGUGAGCGGAAUAUGUCAUGUAGCGGUGAAAUGCUUAGAUAUGACAUAGAACACCAAUUGCGAAGGCAGCUCACUACACAAAGAUUGACACUGAGGCACGAAAGCGUGGGGAUCAAACAGG